rnacentral:rRNA from 1 species
AUGAUAGAAAAGUUGCUUUGGAUGAAGGAUGCUUGUGCUCGUUUGUUUGAGAGUCGGCAUGUGGCUAGGGUUCAUACAGCUGGUUUUGGUUCUAUCAUCAAGUGGAAGGUGAAGUCUAACAUUUCCCGCCCUCUAAUGGGAGUUUUGUACCUGAAGAUAAAUCCUGAUACGAUGACUCUUGACAUGGGUGAGGCGAAUAAGAAGCUUUGCAUCACUAGCGAUUGUAUACAUCAACUAUUUGGUUUCCCUCGUGGUGGUCGUUCUGCACCAAGGCCCUUAGAGGACGGAUAUGAUGAAGCUCUGGUGAAGUUCAGAUCGGAGCUUGACAUUAGUAGGAACAGAGAUAUCAAGACGAAGGAUUUGAGGGAUAAGCUCAAGGUGCUUGCCAAGGAUCCUAGCAAAGAUGACCUUGCUCUAAAAGUGUUCUUCAUUAUUGUGUUUAUGAAAGUUUUUUUGCCUGGUGCCGCCCCUUGUGUUUCCAGAGAGGCGACAAUGUUUGAGGAUCUUGUCAUUGAGGACAUGGCUAAUAUGGAUUAUUGCCAGCUGAUGAUUGAUGAGCUUAGAAGAGCUGUUGUCAGGUACCAAGAUAGUGUUACCCUUGGGAAGGUAAUCACAGGCUGUGCUAUAGGGCAUGUACUAAUGUACCUUGAUUGCCUUAUCCAUGGCAAGUUUUCAGAGGUCAACAUUGGAAAACUCAAUAGGAAGUUGUCUUUUUUCGGGUGUAUAAACGUCCAGUCCUAG